rnacentral:rRNA from 1 species
GAUGAACGCUGGCGGCGUGCCUAAUACAUGCAAGUCGAGCGAACAGACGAUGAGCUUUCUCCUCUGACGUUAGCGGCGGACGGGUGAGUAACACGUGGAUAACCUACCUAUAAGACUUGGAUAACUUCGUGAAACCGGAUCUAAUACCGGAUAAUAUAUUUAACCGCAUGGUUCAAUAGUUAAAGACGGUUUUGCUGUCACUUAUAGAUGGAUCCGCCCCGCAUUAGCUAGUUGGUAAGGUAACGGCUUACCAAGGCGACGAUGCGUAGCCGACCUGAGAGGGUGAUCGGCCACACUGGAACUGAGACACGGUCCAGACUCCUACGGGAGGCAGCAGUAGGGAAUCUUCCGCAAUGGGCGAAAGCCUGACGGAGCAACGCCGCGUGAGUGAUGAAGGUCUUCGGAUCGUAAAACUCUGUUAUUAGGGAAGAACAAAUGUGUAAGUAACUAUGCACGUCUUGACGGUACCUAAUCAGAAGGCCACGGCUAACUACGUG